GGUCCGUUGGUCAAGGGGUUAAGACACCGCCUUUUCACGGCGGUAACACGGGUUCGAACCCGUACGGACUA
rnacentral:tRNA from 1 species